AGUUCCGGGUGAAAGGUGAAUUGGGAGGAAGUAGAGAGAAGACAUUGCUGGAACUGGCAGCAGAGGAGAGAAACCCACAUAGAUCACAUGAGUACAUCACUGAGGAUGAACGCGGACCGGAGUCACAUGACCACAUUAAUGAGAAUGGAGGAGGUUCGUAGUCUCGUGACCGAGAGGAUAAUGAACCUCACCCUGGAGAUCAUCUACCUGCUGACCGGAGAGAGAUUUCCUCUUGUGAAGUCAGGUGAUCAUAUGACCCUCA